GACGAACGCUGGCGGCGUGCUUAACACAUGCAAGUCGAGCGGGAAACUUCGGUUUCCAGCGGCGGACGGGUGAGUAACACGUGGGCAACCUGCCUCACAAUGAGGGAUAGCCCUCCGAAAGGAGGAUUAAUACCUCAUAACACAAGAGAAACGCAUGUUUCUCUUGCCAAAGAAUUUCGUUGUGAGAUGGGCCCGCGGCGCAUUAGCUUGUUGGUGAGGUAACGGCUCACCAAGGCUUCGAUGCGUGGCCGACCUGAGAGGGUGAUCGGCCACAUUGGAACUGAGACACGGUCCAGACUCCUACGGGAGGCAGCAGUGGGGAAUAUUGCACAAUGGAGGAAACUCUGAUGCAGCAACGCCGCGUGAGUGAUGAAGGUCUUCGGAUUGUAAAGCUCUGUCUUCUGGGACGAUAAUGACGGUACCAGAGGAGGAAGCCACGGCUAACUACGUGCCAGCCGCCGCAGUAACAC
rnacentral:rRNA from 1 species